GUCUAGUGGUAUCGUGAGGGUUAAAUGAGAUACCUAUCAUCAUUCCUAGCAUGUUGUGUCUGAUAAACAACAGUUCCCCGCUCCCCACCCCCAAGUCUACAAUUACGGCAUGAAUACUGGCUCAAGGGCUCUGGCUAUGGAGCAAUAGGCUGUUCUGAGACCCACCAGACAGGUAAACACAUGUUAUUCACUAUUUCAAUUUGUUGUGAAAUCAGACGAAAUUCCACUUUUUUUUUUUUUUUUGAAAUUCCACUUUUUUAAGAUCAAUGUUCAUUCAUUCAACGUGAAUGUCUGCUAGGCUCUGCUGAAUUCUGGAGAUAUCAGUGAAGUACAGUCCCCAUCUUAAAGCAGUUCUGAGUUUCGGGGAAAACCCAGCACGUAACAGACAAGGAGGGCUCCAAGGAUUUUGCUGUUGUUCGGUUGCCUGUUUGUGUCCAACUCUUUGCGACCCCAUGGACAGCAGCGUGCCAGGUUUCUCUGUCCCUCACCAUCUCCCUGAGUUUGCCCAAGUUCAAGUCCAAUGAAUCAGUGAUGCCAUCCAACCAUCUCAUCCUCUGUCUCCCUCUUUCCCCUCUGUCUUCAAUCUUUCCCAGUAUCAGGGUCUUUUCCAAUGAGUCAGCUGUUCACAUCAGGUGGCCAAAGUAUUAGAGCUUCAGCUUCAGCUUCAGUCCUUCCAAAGAGUAUUCAGGGUUGAUUUCCUUUAGGAUUAACUGGUUUGAUCUACUUGCUUUCCCAAGGGACUCUCAGGAGUCUUCUCCAGCACCACAGUAUGAAAGCAUCAAUUCUUCUGUGCUCUGUCUUAUUUAUUGUCCAGAUCUCACAUCCAUACACUACUACUGGAAAGACCAUAGCUUUGACUCUACAGACCUUUGUUGGCAAAGUGAUGUCUUUGCCUUUUAACGCACUAGGUUUGUACUUGGAGUCAAUCAGACAAGAAAGAUGAAGGUGGAAAAGGCUUCAGGGGUGGGGAUCAUGUUUAAUAAGGACACUGGAUAAUUCAAAUGCACGUGCCUACAAGAACAUACUUGAAAACAGCGCUGCUCUUAAAUACAUUCAGCCCAGAAGACUUAAUUUUGGUGAGUAACAUGGCUCUCUUAUAGUUAACUGUAAAAAAUAAACUGACUUUAUUGCCCUGCAUCUGUGCUAUUACGCUCUCCCACACUUUUUUUUUUGGGGGGGGGGUGGUAAUCUUCAAUCCUAUUUACCAAGAAAAUCACCCUUUCUCCUAUGCUUUUUCCAAUCAUCAUAUUAAAAACAAACAAAAAUCAAGCACCCAGAUAAUUAAAUCCACUUAGCUUCCCCGGAGACAUAGGCCUCCAUGAGUCUGUCCUCUAAGCUGCCAGGAUUGCACUGAGGUGUCCAGUGGUUCAAACAAAUGUGUGGUUGGAGAGACAUUAUCAGUGUCCAGUGCUCACUCAGAUGGAUUUGGGUUGGGAAUGAGCAUCAGGUGGGUAUGAUGGGCACUGAGUAGUAUGGAGUAUCGUUUUGUUUGAGUUUUGCUCUUGUAAUGACUUAUGGCUUCAAGCUGUGUUUAUACAACACUGUGACAAACAAAUUGAAAAGUGAAAAAAAUUCAACAAACUAGCUGAUUGUCUUAUCUUCUUGUCACACCGAUAAUUUACUUUCUAACUUCAACAGAAUGAGUAUUUGGGUGGAUAGCAGGUAUAGAUUUGGCCUAACGAGGUGGUUCAGUACUGAAGAUAGAUAACUUUGGAAUGACUUAGUUUUCUAUUCCACCUCCCCUUGAGAGGCCAAGAGAGUUUUGAGAAGCAUUUGCUACAUUAUACCAGUGAAUUUUCAAACUAGAAUCCAUUAUCCAGUCAACGAGGAUUGACUGCUGAUUCUGCGCCAGGCAUUGUGCUGGCUACCAGAGGGGCUCUGCAGUGUGCUUUGAGGAGCUGCAAAUGUUUGAUGUGAAUUUUAUUCUAGACUUAUACAUAUAUUUACCAUCUGAAAAAUCAAUGAAAAUGGCUUGUGUGUUCAAUAUGCUAUAUCCUACAUUUAACACUUUUGACAUCACUGAUGUCCUCAGAUUAACUCAUUUUUGUGUAGAUUCAAGAUAAUGAUUUCUUCUGCCUUCUCUGAAAAUAUAUUUCCUUCUCCUAAAUGUGCCAUCUACUAGCAAUGUAAUGGUGCUUAAAUAUUCCUUUAAAAAUUCAGGCCUGCUCAAGUGUACUCAUGUAAAAGUACAAGACAGGGUUAUGUGAACGUCGGGCUCGACUGAAUUCCAGGUCAGGCCUGGGAAUCUGCUCAGAACAAGCUCUGUUCCCAGGAUAACUGCACAAUUGUGCAAAAAUUCAUGACAAGUUAUUUUGUUCAGUAAAAAUUGGGAUUCUUACUGUAAAGAUGUUGGGUGCUUUUCUUCUGACUUUUGUAUUUAUGAGACAGAAUGAACAGUUGUUAUAUAUUAAUGCUAACUCAGUUUUUUAAAUGAAAUGCUACUCACUUUUUUGAAGAGUAUGUUAAUAUUGCAAGGAGAGCUGUGUAGGAAUUGCAUCGUUUGUAAUGACUUAAAUGGUUGGAUUAAAAUUUUUCUCAAUACUCUGCAACUUAAGCAAAAUACAGUGAAAAAUGAAAUGGUGAGACUGAUUUCAAAUUAUUUUCUAAAUCAAAAUACUAAUUGUGCUCAAUGAUUGAUUAUGUG
ensembl:lncRNA